rnacentral:rRNA from 1 species
CGAACGCUGGCGGCGUGCUUAACACAUGCAAGUCGAACGGUGAAGGGACCAGCUUGCUGGUUCUGGAUGAGUGGCGAACGGGUGAGUAACACGUGAGUAACCUGCCCCCUUCUUCUGGAUAACCGCAUGAAAGUGUGGCUAAUACGGGAUAUUCUGGGUCUGUCGCAUGGCGGGCCCGGGAAAGAUAUUGCUUCGGUGGGGGAUGGGCUCGCGGCCUAUCAGCUUGUUGGUGGGGUGAUGGCCUACCAAGGCGGUGACGGGUAGCCGGCCUGAGAGGGUGGACGGUCACACUGGGACUGAGACACGGCCCAGACUCCUACGGGAGGCAGCAGUGGGGAAGAGUGCACAAUGGGCGCAAGCCUGAUGCAGCGACGCCGCGUGAGGGAUGGAGGCCUUCGGGUUGUAAACCUCUUUCGCCAGUGAAGCAGGCCUGCUCCUUGUGGGUGGGUUGACGGUAGCUGGAUAAAAAGCGCCGGCUAACUACGUG